AGGUGAAGGCAUUCUGCCUAAAUAGUAGACACAGGUGAUAAAUAAGAGAAUACUAAAGAUUCGAGCCAUAGAAUUUCUCAAUCCUGACACAAGGUCCUUCUUAGAUCGAAUAAGUACCCAGAUUCCAAAUGAACAAAUUCAAACUCGAAAAGGAUCUUUCUGAUUCUUGAAGAAUGAGGGGCAAAGGGAUUGAUCGAGAAAGAUCUCUUGUUCUUAUUAUAAGAUCGUGAUUGGAUCUGCAUAUGUUUGUUAAAAAGAAUAAUCUUCUCCUUUGAGAAUAAUCAAAAAUGGAAAGUGUUCAAUUGGAACAUGAAAACGUGUAUGAAUUGGUCUUUCUUC